AAAAAUGGAGUUCUCUAAGAUAACUUCACUUCUUUUCAUUUCCAUGCUUUUCCUUUCUUCCCUCACUCCCAUUCUUGGUUGUGGCUAUUGUGGUAAACCUUCUCACAAGCCCAAAAAGCCCAAAGUUCCUUCUCCCAUUGUCAAACCCCCUAUCCAUUUGCCACCUAUCGGAAUUCCACCCGUCACUGUUCCACCAAUCGUAAAACCACCCGUUGAUUUGCCACCUAUUGGAAUUCCACCUGUCACAGUUCCACCAAUAGUAAAACCGCCCGUUGAUUUGCCACCUGUUGGAAUUCCACCUGUCACAGUUCCACCAGUAAAACCUCCAGUUGAUUUGCCACCAAUCGGUUUACCACCAAUUGUGAAACCGCCAAUUGGUUUACCACCUAUUGGAAUUCCACCUGUCAUAGUUCCACCAGUAGUUAAACCAUCACCUAAAGGGAAAAAACCUUGUCCACCAACUACAAAGGCAACAUGCCCAAUUGACACAUUGAAACUUGGGGCUUGUGUGGAUCUUCUUGGUGGGCUUGUUCAUAUUGGGCUUGGUGACCCAGCUGUUAAUGAAUGUUGUCCAAUAC
rnacentral:lncRNA from 1 species